UACGGAGGAUCCAAGCGUUAUCCGGAUUUAUUGGGUUUAAAGGGUGCGUAGGCGGCUUUUUAAGUCAGGGGUGAAAGACGGUAGCUCAACUAUCGCAGUGCCCUUGAUACUGAAGAGCUUGAAUACACUAGAGGUAGGCGGAAUGUGACAAGUAGCGGUGAAAUGCAUAGAUAUGUCACAGAACACCAAUUGCGAAGGCAGCUUACUAUGGUGUCAUUGACGCUGAGGCACGAAAAGCGUGGGGGAGUCAAACAGG
rnacentral:rRNA from 1 species